AUGGGCCCUAACUUUGCUUCACCUUCCUCCGUCCCUCUUUCUUCCUCAGUCAUUAUGUUCCUCCCUCCCACCAUCAUCGCCGCUGUCCUUCCUUUCUUCCUUUCAGCCACCAUCCCCUCCACCAUCCUCCUUCAGUUGGGUUUUCCCCUGUUCCUUCUUCCUCCUUCAAUUCUGUUUCUUCCUCCCUCCAUUCUGUUUACUCCACUUUGUUUGUAUUUCAUCCUCCCUCCACUCUGUCUCACUGCACUUUGUUUGUAUUUCAUAUGUUUAUAUUUUCUUUAUUUUAAUUUUACUGCAAUCUGUUUUUAUUUUAUCUGUAUUAAUGCUUUUAUUUUUAUUUGUAAAAAAUAUCAAAUAGCGUUCAUCCUGCUAUACAUUAUCCUGCAAUCCCACUUUAGGAGGUGGCUAAUCCGCGCAGCUAUCCGGGAUUGA